rnacentral:rRNA from 1 species
GACGAACGCUGGCGGCGUGCUUAACACAUGCAAGUCGAACGGAAAGGCCCUGCUUUUGUGGGGUGCUCGAGUGGCGAACGGGUGAGUAACACGUGAGUAACCUGCCCUUGACUUUCGGAUAACUUCAGGAAACUGGGGCUAAUAUCGGGUAGGAGCUACUGCUGCAUGGGGGGGGAUGGAAAGUUACGGCGGUGGUGGAUGGACUCGCGGGUUAUCCGCUUGUUGGUGUGGUAGUGGCGUACGAGGGCUUUGACGGGUAGCCGGCCUGAGAGCUUGACCGGGCUCAAUGGGACUGCGAUACGGCGCAGACUCCUACGGUACGCAGCAGUGGGGAAUAUUACACAAUGGCCGCAAGCGUGAUGCAGCAACGCUGCGUUCGGGAUGCCCUCCUUCGGGUUGUAAACCGCUGUGGCAUGUGACGUAGCGUGCGUGACGGUAAUGGGUAAAGAAGCACCGGCUAACUACGUG